AUUGAACGCUGGCGGCAUGCCUUACACAUGCAAGUCGAACGGCAGCACGGGUGCUUGCCCCUGGUGGCGAGUGGCGAACGGGUGAGUAAUACAUCGGAACAUGUCCUGUAGUGGGGGAUAGCCCGGCGAAAGCCGGAUUAAUACCGCAUACGAUCUACGGAUGAAAGCGGGGGACCUUCGGGCCUCGCGCUAUAGGGUUGGCCGAUGGCUGAUUAGCUAGUUGGUGGGGUAAAGGCCUACCAAGGCGACGAUCAGUAGCUGGUCUGAGAGGACGACCAGCCACACUGGGACUGAGACACGGCCCAGACUCCUACGGGAGGCAGCAGUGGGGAAUUUUGGACAAUGGGCGAAAGCCUGAUCCAGCAAUGCCGCGUGUGUGAAGAAGGCCUUCGGGUUGUAAAGCACUUUUGUCCGGAAAGAAAUCCUUGGCCCUAAGACGGUCGGGGGAUGACGGUACCGGAAGAAUAAGCACCGGCUAACUACGU
rnacentral:rRNA from 1 species